rnacentral:rRNA from 1 species
GCACAAGCGGUGGAGCAUGUGGUUUAAUUCGAAGCAACGCGAAGAACCUUACCAGGUCUUGACAUCCCUGACAACCCGAGAGAUCGGGCGUUCCCCUUCGGGGGACAGGGUGACAGGUGGUGCAUGGUUGUCGUCAGCUCGUGUCGUGAGAUGUUGGGUUAAGUCCCGCAACGAGCGCAACCCUCGACCUUAGUUGCCAGCAUUCAGUUGGGCACUCUAAGGUGACUGCCGGCUAAAAGUCGGAGGAAGGUGGGGAUGACGUCAAAUCAUCAUGCCCCUUAUGACCUGGGCUACACACGUGCUACAAUGGGCGGUACAAAGGGUCGCGAACCCGCGAGGGGGAGCCAAUCCCAAAAAGCCGCUCUCAGUUCGGAUUGCAGGCUGCAAUUCGCCUGCAUGAAGUCGGAAUCGCUAGUAAUCGCAGGUCAGCAUACUGCGGUGAAUACGUUCCCGGGCCUU